rnacentral:rRNA from 1 species
UACAGAGGUCUCGAGCGUUUGUUCGGAUUCAUUGGGCGUAAAGGGUGCGUAGGUGGCGGGGUAAGUCAGGUGUGAAAUCUCGGGGCUCAACCCCGAAACUGCACUUGAUACUGCCUUGCUCGAGUACUGGAGAGGAGAUUGGAAUUUACGGUGUAGCAGUGAAAUGCGUAGAUAUCGUAAGGAAGACCAGUGGCGAAGGCGAAUCUCUGGACAGUUACUGACACUGAGGCACGAAGGCCAGGGGAGCAAACGGG